UACGGGGGGGGCAAGCGUUGUUCGGAAUUACUGGGCGUAAAGGGCGUGUAGGCGGCCAACUAAGUCCGACGUGAAAUCCCUCGGCUCAACCGGGGAACUGCGUCCGAUACUGGCGGGCUUGAAUUCGGGAGAGGGAUGUGGAAUUCCAGGUGUAGCGGUGAAAUGCGUAGAUAUCUGGAGGAACACCGGUGGCGAAGGCGGCAUCCUGGACCGGCACUGACGCUGAGGAGCGAAAGCCAGGGGAGCAAACGGG
rnacentral:rRNA from 1 species